GUUUGCCAGUUUGGAUCCCGGGGGCAGACCUACACACCGCUUAUCAAGCCAGGCUGUGGCAGGCAUCCCACAUAUAAAGUGGAGGAAGAUGGGCACAGAUGUUAGCUCAGGGCCAAUCUUCCUCAGCAAAAAGAGGAGGAUUGGUGGCAGAUGUUAGCUCAGGGCUAAUCUUCCUAAAAAAAAAGAAUGUGGAGUUGGGUUGGAUGGUAAGAGGGAUGAGUAAGAGAGAGGAAUGUAGUUAAAAAUAUCUCCCAGAUUUGGAGCCAAUUUGAACCAUUUGGGGGAGAAAUACAGUUUGGGACCUGUAGAGUUGGUGGCAUCUCUUGCCAUCCACAUGGAGAUGACCAGUGUUCGCCUGCAUGGAUGGGUAUGGAGGCUGGCGAGGAUCUGAGCUGGAGACAGACUGUGAGCCUGAGACCCAGGGAGCUUAGAAACCCGGCCAGAAUCUGGCAGAGCGGGGGCCCUAACCCGCCGUCUGAGCCCACGGUGGCACCCUUAAUCACCAAGCUCCACAGUGUGGGGGACGAGAGAGUGGAACUACCGGAGAAGACACGGGGAUGCGGCUCGGAGAGAGAGGAUGGACUGAAGCGAUUUGAAAGUUCUGGAGCCUGGGAAAUCCAAGAUCAAGGCGCCAGCAGAUUCAGUGUCUGGUGAGAGCCCACUUCCUGGUUCAGAGAUGGUCCUCUUUUCUCUGUAUCCUCACACGGUGGAAGGGGAGCAUCUGACCAAACUGUCCAUGCAUCCUCCUUCCACUAGAACACCUUCCUGCAAGCUCGCUCCUGGAGGUUCACCCUUUACCAGACGUGGAUGAUUCUCAGAUGGGUUCAAGCUGGGACCACAUGCUCACGCACAUAUGCACAAGCAUGUGCUCACACUGUUACUACCACAUCUUCUGUAAGAGCGCAGAAGAAAUAAUAAAAUUAUCCUUGAUUAAGCACC
rnacentral:lncRNA from 1 species